GCCGGGUGUGAUGGCUCACUCCUGUAAUCCCAGCGGCUUGGGAGGCUGAGGCAAGAGGAUUGCGAGUUCAAAGCCAGCCUUAGCCAAAGCGAGGCUGCUAAGCAACUCAGUGAGACCCUGUCUCUA
rnacentral:sRNA from 1 species